rnacentral:rRNA from 1 species
UCAUAAAGUCAUAUCUCUCUGCGGGUAUUGCCUGGUUUUCCACUGAAGGUAAGUAGGGUUGAGCCUGGCCAGUGCCGGGAUGGGAGACCUCAUGGGGAAAACUAAGGUUGUUGCUGGAA